rnacentral:rRNA from 1 species
GAUGAACGCUGGCGGCGUGCCUAAUACAUGCAAGUCGAACGCAUUGUGGUUGAAAUGAUAUGAAGAACUUGUUCAGAUUUGAUUUUCAACAUUGCAAUGAGUGGCGAACGGGUGAGUAACACGUGGGAAACCUACCUCUUAGCAGGGGAUAACAUUUGGAAACAAAAUGCUAAUACCGUAUAAUAAUUAAAACCGACAUGGUUUAGUUUAAAAGAUGGUCUUGCUAUCACUAAGAGAUGGUCCCGCGGUGUAUUAGUUAGUUGGUGAGGUAAUGGCUCACCAAGACAAUGAUACAUAGCCGAGUUGAGAGACUGACCGGCCACAAUGGGACUGAGACACGGCCCAUACUCCUACGGGAGGCAGCAGUAGGGGAAUCUUCCACAAAUGGACGAAAAGUCUGAUGGAGCAACGCCGCGUGUGUGAUGAAGGUUUCGGCUCGUAAAACACUGUUGUAAGAGAAGAAUGACAUUGAGAGU